rnacentral:rRNA from 1 species
GAACUGAAGAGUUUGAUCAUGGCUCAGAUUGAACGCUGGCGGCAGGCCUAACACAUGCAAGUCGAGCGGUAGAGAGGUGCUUGCACCUCUUGAGAGCGGCGGACGGGUGAGUAAUGCCUAGGAAUCUGCCUGGUAGUGGGGGAUAACGCUCGGAAACGGACGCUAAUACCGCAUACGUCCUACGGGAGAAAGCAGGGGACCUUCGGGCCUUGCGCUAUCAGAUGAGCCUAGGUCGGAUUAGCUAGUUGGUGAGGUAAUGGCUCACCAAGGCGACGAUCCGUAACUGGUCUGAGAGGAUGAUCAGUCACACUGGAACUGAGACACGGUCCAGACUCCUACGGGAGGCAGCAGUGGGGAAUAUUGGACAAUGGGCGAAAGCCUG